rnacentral:rRNA from 1 species
UGCAGUCGAACGAUGAUGGCAGCCUCUGGUUGGCAUCUUAGUGGCGGACGGGUGAGUAACGCGUAAGAACUUGCCCCUGGGAGAGGGAUACCAACUGGAAACGGUUGUUAAUACCUCAUAGGCUGAGGAGUAAAAUGGUUAACACCGCCUAGGGAUAGGCUUGCGUCUGAUUAGCUAGUUGGUGGGGCAAAGGCCUACCAAGGCAAUGAUCAGUAGCUGGUCUGAGAGGACAAUCAGCCACACUGGGACUGAGACACGGCCCAGACUCCUACGGGAGGCAGCAGUGAGGAACUUUCCGCAAUGGGCGAAAGCCUGACGGAGCAAUGCCGCGUGGAGGAUGAAGGCCCGUGGGUUGUAAACUCCUUUUCUUAGAGAAGAAGCCCUGACGGUAUCUAAGGAAUAAGCAUCGGCUAACUCCGUGCCAGCAGCCGCGGUAAUACGGGGGAUGCAAGCGUUAUCCGGAAUCAUUGGGCGUAAAGGGUCCUGAGGUGGUUUGCUAAGUCUACUGUGAAAGAUCAGGGCUCAACCCUGAAGAUGCGGUGGAAACUGGCAAGCUAGAAUAUGGUAGGGGCAGGGGGAAUUCCCGGUGUAGCGGUGAAAUGCAUAGAUAUCGGGAAGAACACCAACGCGAAGCACUCUGCUGGGCCGAUAUUGACACUGACAGACGAAAGCUAGGGGAGCGAAUGGAUUAGAUACCCCAGUAGUCCUAGCCGUAAACGAUGGAUACUAAGUGCUGAACGACCAAAACGUGCAUGCUGCAGCUACGCGCCUAGGCAUCCGCCUGGGGAGCAUGGCCGCAGGAUGAACUCAAAGAAUUGACGGGGCGGCCCAGCGUGAACUGGUAAUCGAUGCCACCGAAAACUUAACAGGCUUGACAUGCCGCCUA